rnacentral:rRNA from 1 species
CAGUAGCCGCGGGAAUACAGAGGGUGCAUGCGUUAAUCGGAUUUACUGGGCGUAAAGCGUGCGUAGGCGGCUAAUUGAGUCGGAUGUGAAAUCCCCGAGCUUAACUUGGGAAUUGCAUUCGAUACUGGUUAGCUAGAGUGUGGGAGAGGAUGGUAGAAUUCCAGGUGUAGCGGUGAAAUGCGUAGAGAUCUGGAGGAAUACCGAUGGCGAAGGCAGCCAUCUGGCCUAACACUGACGCUGAGGUACGAAAGCAUGGGGAGCAAACAGGAUUAGAUACCCCAGUAGUCCCUGUCUCUUAUAC